rnacentral:rRNA from 1 species
AACGAACGCUGGCGGCAUGCCUAACACAUGCAAGUCGAACGAGACCUUCGGGUCUAGUGGCGCACGGGUGCGUAACGCGUGGGAACCUGCCCUUAGGUUCGGAAUAACUCCCCGAAAGGGGUGCUAAUACCGGAUAAUGUCUUCGGACCAAAGAUUUAUCGCCUUUGGAUGGGCCCGCGUUGGAUUAGCUAGUUGGUAGGGUAAAAGCCUACCAAGGCGACGAUCCAUAGCUGGUCUGAGAGGAUGAUCAGCCACACUGGGACUGAGACACGGCCCAGACUCCUACGGGAGCCAGCAGUGGGGAAUAUUGGACAAUGGGCGAAAGCCUGAUCCAGCAAUGCCGCGUGAGUGAUGAAGGCCUUAGGGUUGUAAAGCUCUUUUACCCGGGAUGAUAAUGACAGUACCGGGAGAAUAAGCUCCGGCUAACUCCGUG